rnacentral:rRNA from 1 species
UACGUAGGGUGCAAGCGUUAAUCGGAAUUACUGGGCGUAAAGCGUGCGCAGGCGGUUGUGUAAGUCUGAUGUGAAAGCCCCGGGCUCAACCUGGGAACUGCAUUGGAGACUGCACAGCUAGAGUGCGUCAGAGGGGGGUAGAAUUCCGCGUGUAGCAGUGAAAUGCGUAGAGAUGCGGAGGAAUACCGAUGGCGAAGGCAGCCCCCUGGGAUGACACUGACGCUCAUGCACGAAAGCGUGGGGAGCAAACAGGAUUAGAUACCCUGGUAGUCCACGCCCUAAACGAUGUCAACUAGCUGUUGGGGGUUUGAAUCCUUGGUAGCGUAGCUAACGCGAGAAGUUGACCGCCUGGGGAGUACGGCCGCAAGGUUAAA